rnacentral:rRNA from 1 species
UAUGGAAAGUCCAAUCUGCUCACUGAAUUUUUUUAAAGAGCCGCGGUAUUUUAACCGUGCAAAGGUAGCAUAAUCAAUAGUUUUUUAAUUGAAAACUUGUAUGAAAGAUUAGAUGAAAAAAUGAUUUUCUUUUUUUAAAAGAUUUAAAUUAAAUUUUAAGUGAAAAUUCUUAAAUAUUUAAAAAAGACGAGAAGACCCUAUAGAUUUUUAUUAUUUAAAAUUUUAUUAAUAAAUGAAAGUUUAAAAUAAUUUAAUUGGGGUGAUUUUGUAAAAUAAAAAACUUAAUAUUAUAUUACCAAAAAUAAUUGAAUUUUUUGAUCUAAAAUUUUUUAUUAUUAAAAUAAAUUACCUUAGGGAUAACAGCGUAAUUUUAUUUAAGAGUUCAUAUCUAAAGUAAAGUUUGCGACCUCGAUGUUGAAUUAAGAUAAAUUAUUGAAGCAGAAAUUAAUAUUAUUAGUCUGUUCGACUAUUAAAUUC